rnacentral:rRNA from 2 species
GAACUUAAGCAUAUCAUUAAGCAGAGGAAAAGAAAUUAACUAAGAUUCCCUCAGUAAUGGCGAAUGAACCGGGAAAAGCUCAAAUUUAAAAUCAUUUAUCAAAAUGAAUUGUAGUUUAAGAAUGUUUAAUUAAAAAUGUUAAGCCUAUUAAUUCAAUUGGAAAAUUGAAACAUAGAGGGUUAUAUUCCCGUAUAUGUAGGUACUUGAUAUUUAAUAAUUAUUCAUUAAAGAGUCAGAUUGUUUGGGAUUACAGUCUAAAUUAGGAGGUAAAUUUCUUUUAAAGCUAAAUAUUGGUAGGAGACCGAUAGCGAACAAGUACCGUAAGGGAAAGAUGAAAUAGAACCUUGUAAAGGGGUUUAAACAGAAAGUGAAAUCGUUAAGAGGGAAACAUUUAAAACUCGAACUAAAGGAACAAAUAUUGAUGUAAUUUACAACAAAUUUUGGACCUUUUAAAUCUCAAUAAUUAUUAUUUUUGGUUAAAAAUUGUUUUUAUAACAAGGUUUCAUUCAACGUAUUGAAACUUAAAAGUAAAUGUCAAUUAACUAAUUAUGAUAUUAAACCUAUUUAUUACACCUUCAUGUUUUUAUUACUGAACAGCAAUCUUUUUAAGAUUAUUGUUCAACUAAUUCGAACACAGGUGCUAUGGGAAAAAUAUUGAUAAU